CAGCCGCCGCGGUAAAACCAGCACCUCAAGUGGUCAGGAUGAUUAUUGGGCCUAAAGCAUCCGUAGCCGGAUCCAUAAGUUUUCGGUUAAAUCUAUGCGCUUAACGUAUAGGCUGCCGGAAAUACUGUGGAUCUAGGGAGUGGGAGAGGUAGACGGUACUCGGUAGGAAGAGGUAAAAUUCACUAAUCUAUCGGUGACCACCUGUGGCGAAGGCGGUCUACCAGAACACGUCCGACGGUGAGGGAUGAAAGCUGGGGGAGCAAACCGGAUUAGAUACCCGGGUAGUCCCAGCCGUAAACUAUGCAAACUCAAUGAUGCAUUGAGUUGAUCUCAAUGCAGUGUUGCAGGGAAGCCGUUAAGUUUGCCGCCUGGGAAGUACGUACGCAAGUAUGAAACUUAAAGGAAUUGGCGGGGGAGCAC
rnacentral:rRNA from 1 species